rnacentral:rRNA from 1 species
UACCAGACUCCUACGGGAGGCAGCAGUGGGGAAUAUUGGACAAUGGGGGAAACCCUGAUGCAGCGACGCCGCGUGAGUGAAGAAGUAUUUCGGUAUGUAAAGCUCUAUCAGCAGGGAAGAAAAUGACGGUACCUGACUAAGAAGCCCCGGCUAACUACGUGCCAGCAGCCGCGGUAAUACGUAGGGGGCAAGCGUUAUCCGGAUUUACUGGGUGUAAAGGGAGCGUAGACGGCAUGGCAAGUCAGAUGUGAAAGCCCGGGGCUCAACCCCGGGACUGCAUUUGAAACUGUCAGGCUGGAGUGCAGGAGAGGUAAGUGGAAUUCCUAGUGUAGCGGUGAGAUGCGUAGAUAUUAGGAGGAACACCGGUGGCGAAGGCGGCCUGCUGGACUGUAACUGACGUUGAGGCUCGAAAGCGUGGGGAGCAAACAGGAUUAGAUACCCUAGUA